ACAGGUACGUGGGCGGGCGGAUCGUGGUGGCUGCGCUUGCGAGGACCCUGAGUUUAAACUUGAUUUUGUGAGGGGACGAACAGCGUGACAAUUAAAAGAAGAUCUGGGAAUCAAACUCUGUUCAACUUUUCAGCCAUCACCUCAGGAAUCAGAAGAUACUCCAGAGGAAAAGCUAAUGUAAAUGCUGGAUUCAACAACUCUGUUUUUUCCUUCUGAAUAUUUCAUUGUCUCUAAUGCUGUCAGAUGUUUGUUUUAUAUUUUGUCCAAGCUGAGUGUGGUGGCUCACGUCUGUAAUUUCAGCACCUUGGGAGGCCAAGGCGGGACCAUCCCUUGAGGCCAGGAAUUUGAGACUAGCCUAGGCAACAUAACAAGACCUUUGUCUCUUGGAAAAAAAUAAAUAAAUAAAUAUUAUUAGAAGUGAAAA
rnacentral:lncRNA from 10 species